CGCUUGUAAAAGAAUUGGAUCCUUUUGAAAUGGAUGCUGAAGUGCACUGUGCUGACCAACAGCGGUGAACACCGCCACUGCUCAGAGGGUGACAAAGCAAGCAGUGGUUGGAGCGUGUCUGACUUGGGCCUCCUUUUAGGGCUUGUGUUCAUUUUCUUUUAUAUCAUUUCUUAGAAAUAUAGUACCAUCCUAGUUUUGUAGCCAGGAGGGUAUUGCUUCUUCAAGCCUCUGAGGUACAAGAAUUGCUAUUAAACAGUACUGAUGAUAAAUUCCGUGCGAACCUUUCCAAAAUGAUUUAAGUACCUUUUGGAUUUGCUUCCCUAAAAAUGGCUUGUGUCUAAAUUGACUUUUCAAUUUGAGAAUCUACUGAAGAGAUGUAUAGACACCAGUUCCUCAGCCCAGUGAAAGCAUUGCUUUUUACCUAUCUCCAGCCGGAGUGUGGGGAAAAUUGGGUCAGUAUCUUAGCAAUUUGAAGGCCAGUUUUAGGGUAUUGAGAGUGACUAAAACCACCUGCCCUCUUAACCCUCUGAUGUGAGGGGCGUGCUGUCCCUCUCUCCACCCACCAAAUCUAAACAGUCGUAAAGAAGACUCUAGACAUCUAGAUACUCACAGUCCUCUGCUCUUAGAUCUUAAUUCUUUUUCAAAUAAGCUUGCCUCCCUGUUGCUGUCCUGUCCAGGAAUGUGAGAAAUAGAUCCACUCAGAUCAACCUUCUGAUGAGCUCUCAAUGUUGGCUUUGAAGAGCCUCCGUCUAGCUGAGUGUACCUUUAUUUUGUGUGGUUUUGAGCUUAGGUUUAAUGAUAAGACCUGUUGGGGAAACCCUAAAGGAAUAAAAUACACACAGAAGGAGUUGUUGAGAUUUUCUAAAAUACCAUGAUGGCCGUCUGUUGAGCCAGAAAUGAAACUUAUUUCAGUUUCCUACUUAAGACAGAAUGAACAAGCAGUCACUUCUCCUGCUUGUUACUACUAACUUGAACAUAUGCGGGAACGGUGCCACACUAAUAAUAAAUCAGGGGGAGACUCAGCCAGGGCAGUUUGAAAACAUUGUGCUUAAGACAUUGAAAGUCCAGGAGAUACCGUCAUCUGAGUAGGAAUGCUGUUUUCAGGGUCCUUCGUGAACAGACAUAUACAUACACACAGUCUCUGGACACAAGGAAGGGCUAGCUGCUCCUUGGGGGCUGUUAGCAAAACUUAAAGUCUGACAGCCAGUUGGUCUGCAAAAUAGAGUUAAGGGAGUCCAUGGAGAGCUUGGGGAUAGGAAGACAGAAAACACCAAAUAUUAGCAGAAUAUUUCAAAUGUUCAUGCCAAGUAAAAAAAUGUCAGGUCCCUGAAGAUGUCACUUGAAAGAACUACUCAAAAUAGGAUUCUAAGAAGUACUAACUUAACAGGUGUGACAAAGGGAGAUAAUGGGACACGGAAGUCUCUAGUGUUUCUGUACCUUGACUGCUGACUCUCUUCAUUCUCCAACAGCCUACUGAAGGAGCUGGAAGGAGGAACUCAGACAUCUUAGGGAUAAUUACCCAAAACUAAUAAUACAAAAAAAAAAAAUCACAAGCCAUUUUAUUCUCUGUUCCAGUUAACUUGAGGUACUUAAUGAUGAAGUAUUUGCUUGCACUAUGACCUCCUCCUCGGGUGACGUGCAACUUGGUUCCUCUCUGGUUUUGUUUCUUUUUAAUAUGCAGAAGUGAGUGUGUGAUCUUCAGUGUGUUUGCAUAAGCUAACUUAAAUUGAAUUUAAGAACAGUUUUCUGAACUAUUUCUAUUGAAAUAAAUGACUUAAAAGUGUA
rnacentral:lncRNA from 1 species